rnacentral:rRNA from 1 species
ACGGCUCAGUAACACGUAGUCAAUCUAACCUAUGGACGGGGAUAACCUCGGGAAACUGAGGAUAAACCCCGAUAGAUCAUUAUGCCUGGAACGGUUUAUGGUCCAAACGAUUCGUCGCCGUAGGGUGGGACUGCGGCCUAUCAGCUUGUUGGUGAGGUAAUGGCCCACCAAGGCUAUUACAGGUACGGGCUCUGAGAGGAGAAGCCCGGAGAUGGGUACUGAGACACGGACCCAGGCCCUAUGGGGCGCAGCAGGCGAGAAACCUUUGCAAUGUGCGCAAGCACGACAAGGUUAAUCCGAGUGUUUCCUGCUAAAGGAAUCUUUUGUUAGUUGUAAAACCACUGAUGAAUAAGGGGUGGGCAAGUUCUGGUGUCAGCCGCCGCGGUAAACCAGCACCUCAAGUGGUCAGGAUGAUUAUUGGGCCUAAAGCAUCCGUAGCCUGUUCUGUAAGUUUUCGGUUAAAUCCAUUAGCUCAACUAAUGGGCUGCCGAAAAUACUUGCAGAACUAGGGAGUGGGAGAGGUAGACGGUACUCGGUAGGAAGGGGUAAAAUCCUUUGAUCUAUUGAUGACCACCUGUGGCGAAGGCGGUCUACCAGAACACGUUCGACGGUGAGGGAUGAAAGCUGGGGGAGCAAACCGGAUUAGAUACCCGGGUAGUCCCAGCUGUAAACGAUGCAGACUCGGUGAUGCCCUGGCUUGUGGCCAGUGCAGUGCCGCAGGGAAGCCGUUAAGUUUGCCGCCUGGGAAGUACGUACGCAAGUAUGAAACUUAAAGGAAUUGGCGGGGGAGCAC